AACGAACGCUGGCGGCAUGCCUAACACAUGCAAGUCGAACGAGACCUUCGGGUCUAGUGGCGCACGGGUGCGUAACGCGUGGGAACCUGCCCUUAGGUUCGGAAUAACUCCCCGAAAGGGGUGCUAAUACCGGAUAAUGUCUUCGGACCAAAGAUUUAUCGCCUUUGGAUGGGCCCGCGUUGGAUUAGCUAGUUGGUAGGGUAAAAGCCUACCAAGGCGACGAUCCAUAGCUGGUCUGAGAGGAUGAUCAGCCACACUGGGACUGAGACACGGCCCAGACUCCUACGGGAGGCAGCAGUGGGGAAUAUUGGACAAUGGGCGAAAGCCUGAUCCAGCAAUGCCGCGUGAGUGAUGAAGGCCUUAGUGUUGUAAAGCUCUUUUACCCGGGAUGAUAAUGACAGUACCGGGAGAAUAAGCGCCGGCUAACUCCGUG
rnacentral:rRNA from 1 species